UAAUUAUAUACAAUAAAUGUUUUAGGUAAUAUUUAUAUUUUUAAACAUUUAUAUUUAUAUUAGAUAUGUAUAUAUGUAUAUGUAAUUGUAAAUAUGAAAUAUGUAAAAUAUGUAAUGGAUAUGUAAAAUAUAUAUAUACAUUAUAUAUACAUAAUAGUGCUGUCAAAUGAUUAAUCGCUUCCAAAAUAAACGUUUUUGUUUACAUGAUAUAUGUGUGUGUACUCUGUAUAUUUAUACACACAAAUGCAUGUAUAUAUUUAAGAUAAAUGUUACAUUUAUAUAUUAAAUAUAUUUACAUAUAUUAUAAAUAUUAUGAAUAAAAUAUUCAUUCGUAAAUACAUGUAAAUAUUUUCAAAAUAUAUGCUGUAUGUGUGCGGAUUUAUAUAUACAGAAUAAAUAUACACAGUACACAUGCUAUAUGUUAUGUAAACAAAAACUUUUAUUUUAGAUGCGAUUAAUCGCGAUUAAUUAUUUGAUAGCACUAAAACACACACACACAUACAUUAUAUAUAUAUAUAUAUAGUAUAAAACAUUACUAACAUUACUAACAUUCCAAUCAUAAAACGAUUAAAUUAUUUAAAUGAUUUUUUUGACAUUUUGUACAUUGUCAAACAGAAAGUGGAUUUCUAGAAUAAAAGUCCUUCAUUCACAGGCCGAAUCUAACAUAUUCAGCUAUUUCAUAAAAAAAAAACUCACCUUCACUUUGGGUCUGGCCACGAUAUACAACAGCAUGAAUCCCGAAACAACCACACCUCCCACAAUGCCAUACUGCACCUCCCAGAAACUGACCACAAACGUGACCAAGAACGGCAGCAGAUCGAGUCCUGAGAGCUGGAGCGGCACUCUGAAGUCCAUCAUGGGACAGACGGCGCAGAUGAUGACGGCAGCGAGGGACGCUUUAGGGAUGUAGAAGAAGAGUGGCAUGAGGAACGCCAGCGACAGCAGCACUAUCACACCUGCCCAGAAACACACACCUUCAGACGCUGUCCACAGUUUAAAAGUCAACCUGAUCGCAGAGAGUGUGUGCUACCUGUGACGAUCCCUCCAGCGGGCGAACACACUCCGGUUUGAGAGUUCACCGCGGUUCUGUCAGAAAACACCACAUCAAGACACUGGCUUAGCGAAGAGCUAGCCAACAAAUACUUUAGCAUUAGCGCUUAGCUUGCAGACAGACCUUCCGAAGCUGCCCGUGACGGGAUACGCCGACACAAACGAGCCCAUGAUGUUGGUGAGACCUGCAAAAACAACAUUACAAUGAGAAACCGACCGAUUUACGCUUGUGAUAAAACAUCGUAAAGGAAGAGAAUCUCUCACCGAUGGCAAAGAGCUCUUGGUUAGCAUCAAUUCGGUAGUUAUUCUUGCUAGCUGCAUGGAGAAAAGAAAAAAGUGUUAAAUGUGUCUAAACAACAUCUGACACAGAAGUAAGGACAGUUUGAAGCUCUUACCGAAAGCCUUCGCAAUAGCGAUGCUCUCUAAGACGCCCAUUAACGGAAUAACGGCCAGACCGCCGCCUAAAUCCUGAGAAAACACACCCGAUUGGUCAUUAAUGAUCAAUAUUCUGUUAGAUACUCUACUUACAAUCUCUCAAAUGUCACAUAUACUUUACUAAUACCAUAGUUUACUAUUCUGAAAUGUGGUAUUACAUGACAGCUCAACUUUCUGGGAUCCAAGUACCACAAGGGGGCG
ensembl:lncRNA